rnacentral:rRNA from 1 species
UACGAAGGGGGCAAGCGUUGUUCGGAAUCAUUGGGCGUAAAGCGCACGUAGGUGGCCUGUUAAGUCGGGUGUGAAAUCCCUGGGCUCAACCCAGGAAGUGCACUCGAAACUGGCAGGCUUGAGUACUGAAGAGGGUCGCGGAAUUCCCGGUGUAGAGGUGAAAUUCGUAGAUAUCGGGAGGAACACCAGUGGCGAAGGCGGCGACCUGGGCAGAUACUGACACUGAGGUGCGAAAGCGUGGGGAGCAAACAGG